rnacentral:rRNA from 1 species
UACGGAGGGUGCGAGCGUUGUCCGGAAUCAUUGGGCGUAAAGGGCGCGUAGGCGGUCUUGUAAGUCUUGUGUGAAAUCCCUCGGCUCAACUGAGGAACUGCACGGGAUACUGCGAGACUUGAGUUCGGGAGAGGGAAGCGGAAUUCCGGGUGUAGCGGUGAAAUGCGUAGAUAUCCGGAGGAACACCGGUGGCGAAGGCGGCUUCCUGGACCGAUCACUGACGCUGAGGCGCGAAAGCUAGGGGAGCAAACGGG